rnacentral:rRNA from 1 species
AUUGAACGCUGGCGGCAUGCUUUACACAUGCAAGUCGAGCGGCAGCGCGGGGGCAACCCUGGCGGCGAGCGGCGAACGGGUGAGUAAUGCAUCGGAACGUGUCCCGUAGUGGGGGAUAACCCGGCGAAAGCCGGGCUAAUACCGCAUAUGCUCUACGGAGGAAAGGGGGGGAUCCGCAAGGACCUCUCGCUAUGGGAGCGGCCGAUGUCCGAUUAGCUUGUUGGUGGGGUAAUGGCUUACCAAGGCGACGAUCGGUAGCUGGUCUGAGAGGAUGAUCAGCCACACUGGGACUGAGACACGGCCCAGACUCCUACGGGAGGCAGCAGUGGGGAAUUUUGGACAAUGGGGGCAACCCUGAUCCAGCCAUGCCGCGUGCGGGAAGAAGGCCUUCGGGUUGUAAACCGCUUUUAGUCGGGAAGAAAAGGCCAGGCCUAAUACGUCUGGUUCUUGACGGUACCGGCGGAAUAAGCACCGGCUAACUACGUG